AUUGCACGCUGGCGGCAGGCCUAACACAUGCAAGUCGAACGAGUGGCGGACGGGUGAGUAAUGUCUGGGAAACUGCCCGAUGGAGGGGGAUAACUACUGGAAACGGUAGCUAAUACCGCAUACCAUCGGAUGUGCACAGAUGGGAUUAGCUAGUAGGUGGGGUAAAGGCUCACCUGGGCGACGAUCCCUAUCUGGUCUGAGCGGAUGACAAGGCACACUGGAACGGAGACACGGUCCAGACUCCUACGGGAGUCCACAGUGGGGAAUAUUGCACAAUGGGCGCAAGCCUGAUGCAGCCAUGCCGCGUGGAUGAAGAAGGCCGUCGGGUUGUAAAGUACUUUCAGCGGGGAGGCGUUACCCGAAUAAGAAGCACCGGCUAACUCAGUGCCAGCAGCCGCGGUAAUAC
rnacentral:rRNA from 1 species